CACUCAAAUGAGAUUUUAACAGAGUUUCGAGAUAGAGUUUAGAGCUUAGAGAUGAACGUAUCUGGAGGUCCCUUUUUAUAGACGAAGAGCAUAACAGAUUGACAGCGAGAUCUGUAACUGCCUGGUAGUUGACAGUUCGGGGCCACAUGGAGUUUGUUACGGAGAGUAGUGGCAUCAGGAGGCCGUUCAGGGCCACGUGGAGUUUGUUAUGGAGAGUGGAGUGGUGUCUGUUGUCACGACUUGCCAG
rnacentral:lncRNA from 1 species